rfam:Planktothrix serta PCC 8927 isolate BBR_PRJEB10992 genome assembly, scaffold: BBR_A_PL8927_scaffold50
GUCAGCACCCCGCUCUGAAGAGACGGGGCUUCAUGCCUCUAACUUUAGAUAGCUGACCAGCCUCAGCCUAACGGCUACGUUUUCUGGAUCAUAAUACCCACGAAUGCGACGCUAGUUUGUGGCUCUAUUGUUAACAAUUAAACAGUUUUACGAGGGGUGAGGGUUAACUCAUGGAUAUUAUUUCUUUAGCCAUAAUCUUAGGUGUAAUUGUAGCAAC